UCUCUCUCUGAAUUUAUUUCCCUUUAUUAAUUGAAAAAUCCCAAUUCUCGGAACCCAAAACAAAUCCUCCCCACCACUUUUCGUUUUUUUAUCUUAAACUUUUUUAUUUUUAUAUUUUGUUAUUUUUGCGAAGUUUGCUUCCCAUUUGGAUUAGGGUUUCUUCUUGCUUCACCUUCUUCGUCUUGGAGUGAAAAAGCUGAUACCCUCCCGAUCUGUUCUACUAGCCGUUAACUUCUAUUUUCCCGCCAAUUUUAGCUAUCCUCUAUCCAUUUCUUUACUCGUGUUUGCUCCUGUCGUUUUCCGCAGCCGGGGUCUUUUGCAAUUUUUUUUGACCGUUGCUCUCUCUGGGCUUGGCGGGAAAUGUCUGCGCUCGACGCCGGUACGAAGGUCGAGGAGGUUAACGAGAAGGAAGAGAAGGGGGGUGAGCUUUUGUUCUGUGGUGCUACGUGCUGGGAUAUAAUUGGUCGGAAAAAAGGCUCCGUUGAAGGCAACUUGGUCUCCCCCACUCGCCUUCGCCCGCUCGUCGGCGUUGACAUUCGUUUUGUCGCUUCUGGGUGCGCAUCGUGUCAUUGUGUGGCAUUGGACGUGGAAGGGCGCUGCUAUACAUGGGGACGCAAUGAGAAAGGUCAACUGGGGCAUGGAGAUUUGAUUCAGCGAGAUAGGCCUACUAUAGUAUCUGACCUUUCAAAGUACAAGGUGGUUAAAGCUGGAGCAGGGAAAAGUCACACGGUAGUGGUUACUGAAGAUGGAAAUUCUCUUGCUUUUGGCUGGAACAAACAUGGCCAGUUGGGUUCGGGUUCAGUGAAAAAUGAAAGAGAGUUAUCUCCUGUACGUUGUCUUGUAUCUGAAGUGAAAAAUACUGCUUGUGGGGGUGAAUUCACUGUGUGGUUAUCUUCUAUUGAAGGAUCUUCCAUACUUACUGCCGGUCUUCCACAGUAUGGACAGCUUGGGCAUGGAACCGAUAAUGAGUACAACACCAAGGAUAGCUCAGUUAGACUUGCUUAUGAAGCCCAACCACGUCCUAGAGCAAUUGCUUCCCUUUCUGGAGAAAAGAUUGUUAAAGUUGCUUGUGGAACAAAUCACACAGUGGCAGUGGAUUCUAAUGGCUUUGUUUACACGUGGGGCUUUGGCGGCUAUGGAAGACUUGGGCAUAGAGAGCAGAAGGAUGAAUGGGCUCCUCGACGUGUGGAUGUAUUUCAGAGGAAAAAUGUUCUGCCUCCGGAUGCUAUUGUUUCAGCAGGUUCUGUAAACUCAGCUUGUACUGCAGGUGGAGGGCAGCUAUACAUGUGGGGAAAAAUAAAAAAUACAGGAGAUGACUGGAUGUAUCCCAAACCUCUCAUGGAUUUAAGUGGAUGGAAUUUAAGAUGCAUGGACUCGGGCAACAUGCACCAUUUUGUGGGUGCCGAUAACUCGUGCAUAAGUUGGGGCCAUGCCCAAUAUGGAGAGCUGGGAUAUGGCCCUUUAGGGCAGAAGUCUUCUGCAGUACCCAAAAAGGUUGACAUCCUGGAGAACAUGCAUGUCAUAAGUGUUGCAUGUGGAGCUGGGUACUCUAUGGUUGUUGUUGAUAGAACGAAUGUAGCCGACCGACUUGAUCAGCUCGAUAUACAUGACGGCAAAGCUUUUGAUGAAGAGAAUGCAGUAGUCGAAAGUAAAGUUUCGGCUGUCAAGCAAACUCCAAAGGCUGCUAAAACUUCACAAAACGCGAAGAAGAGGAGGAAAUCUAAAGAGUCAUCUGACUCAGAAGAGGAGGAAGAGGAGGAAAACGAAGAUGGUGACAGCAGCGGUGAAGAGGCGAACGGGCUGUCAGAUACGAGUGAUCAAUAUGGAAGCAAGGUUUCUAGUAAAGGUAGAGGUAGAGGAAAGGGUGGUAAAAACUCAUCUGCCAGCGGAAAGGGAGGCAGUGGUCGUGGACGGGGUCGGCCCCCAUCAAACAAGAAAUCUGCAUCUUCUCAAGGAAAAACAGCAGCUAAGAGAGGCAGGCCUCGGAAGGCAUGAAAGGCGGCAUCCAUCAUAGUGUAGGUUUAAUUGGUGAUCAUUUUCUUCAGUCAAAGUGAAGUCAACAACUCUAUUCGUCCGGACGAUAUAUCUGCAAUUUUGAGAUUAUUUCAUCACCACUAUUUAUUUUCAAUUAUAUGAUUAUCCAGAGAUGAUGUACUUACCCUACUUACCCAACGACAUCAAUCAUUCAGAACUUCACCAAGUUUUUUGAGUCAUGAAGAACAGCAUUCUCAAACACCUAUUGUAAAGCCGCCUACAACAGUGAGAAUAGAGGAUUGAUAUGAUAUGUGGAUCAAUAAGAUGGACAUUCCUGUUAUGAGGUCGUGAUUCGAGGGUCGUGCUGGGACUGAUCUGAGCAAUCAUGUUUGCUUCUAAAGCAAGGAAUGGGAAGCUGUUUGCUUCUCGUGAGAGCACAUUCGGGUGGUGGUUCUCAAGUUCUUGAUCUCGCUCCUAACCGAGCUUGCUGGAAUACAGCCAUCAGAGGACCCAUCUCCAAAGAUUCUAACAUCUCAACCCCCCCUCUUGGAAAGCAGAUGCUGUUGAAUUACUGGUGAAGGAGACUUUGUGCAUAUCAUUUUCCUUUGUCUUUUGUAUCAUCUUUCCAGUUCAUAAAGGUUCACAGUAACAUUUUCGAGUGCAUUGUCACAUUCAACUUCAAAUGAGAAGCGGGUUUUUCGUAUUCGGCCCAAGCCCGCCAUCUUUGUAUGUUUAGUUA